GGUGUAUUAGUUUAAUGGUAAAACUCCCGACUGUCUAUCGGAAAUCAAGGGUUCGAUUCCCUUAUACACCGCCA
rnacentral:tRNA from 1 species